rnacentral:rRNA from 1 species
GAUGAACGCUGGCGGCGUGCCUAAUACAUGCAAGUCGAGCGAACAGACGAGGAGCUUGCUCCUCUGACGUUAGCGGCGGACGGGUGAGUAACACGUGGAUAACCUACCUAUAAGACUGGGAUAACUUCGGGAAACCGGAGCUAAUACCGGAUAAUAUAUUGAACCGCAUGGUUCAAUAGUGAAAGACGGUUUUGCUGUCACUUAUAGAUGGAUCCGCGCCGCAUUAGCUAGUUGGUAAGGUAACGGCUUACCAAGGCAACGAUGCGUAGCCGACCUGAGAGGGUGAUCGGCCACACUGGAACUGAGACACGGUCCAGACUCCUACGGGAGGCAGCAGUAGGGAAUCUUCCGCAAUGGGCGAAAGCCUGACGGAGCAACGCCGCGUGAGUGAUGAAGGUCUUCGGAUCGUAAAACUCUGUUAUUAGGGAAGAACAAAUGUGUAAGUAACUAUGCACGUCUUGACGGUACCUAAUCAGAAAGCCACGGCGAACUACGUG